AUUUUGUCACUGGGGCGGGAAAGGAUCCUCUUCCUCAGUACAAGUAAGUGAAAAGCGUCUUCGAGAUCUAUGCUAUCUGGUACAUACUCCCUCCUAAUUCCUGGAACCAAACAAACGUAAAACAAGCUGCUGGAAUAAUUCGAAGAGGAGUCUGAGUUUGUGCUGCAGGAAACAGAGAAUCAUGCAAGCAUUUUUGAAAGGAACAACUGUUCAAACAACUCGACCUCAGAAAAAUAAGUGUGCUUCAGGUUCCAUCAUAAGGAAAGCCAAGCUUACUCCAUGGGUAGAAAAAUAUAGACCAAACUGCGUUGACGAAGUUGCCUUUCAGGAGGAAUCUGUAGCAGUGUUGAAGAAGGCACUGGAAGGCGCAGAUGUAAGUUUUUUUUUUUUUCCUUUUUUUUUUUUUUUUUGUAAAAGGCCCUUAAUCUAAUAAAUG